rnacentral:rRNA from 1 species
AGCGAACGCUGGCGGCAGGCCUAACACAUGCAAGUCGAACGAAGUCUUCGGACUUAGUGGCGGACGGGUGAGUAACACGUGGGAACGUACCUUUUGGUUCGGAACAACUCAGGGAAACUUGAGCUAAUACCGGAUGAGCCCUUAGGGGGAAAGAUUUAUCGCCGAAAGAGCGGCCCGCGUUAGAUUAGCUAGUUGGUGAGGUAAAGGCUCACCAAGGCUACGAUCUAUAGCUGGUCUGAGAGGAUGAUCAGCCACACUGGGACUGAGACACGGCCCAGACUCCUACGGGAGGCAGCAGUGGGGAAUCUCGCGCAAUGGGCGAAAGCCUGACGCAGCCAUGCCGCGUGAAUGAUGAAGGUCUUAGGAUUGUAAAAUUCUUUUACCAGGGACGAUAAUGACGGUACCUGGAGAAAAAGCCCCGGCUAACUUCGUGCCAGCCGCCGCAGUAAGAC